rnacentral:rRNA from 1 species
GACGAACGCUGGCGGCGUGCUUAACACAUGCAAGUCGAACGGAAAGGCCCUGCUUUUGUGGGGUGCUCGAGUGGCGAACGGGUGAGUAACACGUGAGUAACCUGCCCUUGACUUUGGGAUAACUUCAGGAAACUGGGGCUAAUACCGGAUAGGAGCUCCUGCUGCAUGGUGGGGGUUGGAAAGUUUCGGCGGUUGGGGCUGGACUCGCGGCUUAUCCGCUUGUUGGUGGGGUAGUGGCUUACCAAGGCUUUGACGGGUAGCCGGCCUGGGAGGGUGACCGGGCACAUUGGGACUGAGAUACGGCCCAGACUCCUACGGGAGGCAGCAGUGGGGAAUAUUGCACAAUGGGCGGAAGCCUGAGGCAGCAACGCCGCGUGCGGGAUGACGGCCUUCGGGUUGUAAACCGCUUUCGCCUGUGACGAAGCGUGAGUGACGGUAAUGGGUAAAGAAGCACCGGCUAACUACGUG